rnacentral:rRNA from 1 species
AUACGUAGGUGACAAGCGUUAUCCGGAUUUAUUGGGUUUAAAGGGUGCGUAGGCGGUUUGCUAAGCGGGAGGUGAAAUGCCGGCGCUCAACGUCGGAAGUGCCUCCCGAACUGGUGGACUGGAAUGACUCUGCCGUGGGAGGAAUGUGUAGUGUAGCGGUGAAAUGCUUAGAGAUUACACAGAACACCGAUUGCGAAGGCAUCUCACGAAGGGUUGAUUGACGCUGAGGCACGAAAGCGUGGGGAUCAAACAGGAUUAUAUACCCUGGUAGUCCACGCAGUAAACGAUGAUGGCUAACCGCUGGUUUAUUCGGAUCAGUGGCCAAGCGAAAGCGAUAAGCCAUCCACCUGGGGAGUACGACCGCAAGGUUGAAACUCAAAGGAAUUGGCGGGG